rnacentral:rRNA from 1 species
UACAGAGGGUGCGAGCGUUAAUCGGAUUUACUGGGCGUAAAGCGCACGUAGGCGGAUCUUUAAGUCAGAGGUGAAAUCCCAAGGCUCAACCUUGGAACUGCCUUUGAUACUGGGGAUCUUGAGUCCGGGAGAGGUGAGUGGAACUGCGAGUGUAGAGGUGAAAUUCGUAGAUAUUCGCAAGAACACCAGUGGCGAAGGCGGCUCACUGGCCCGGUACUGACGCUGAGGUGCGAAAGCGUGGGGAGCAAACAGG